GUGAACUUGUGGUGGGCAUUGUUUCUUGGACUGUGGAGCACAUGGAUCCUUAGUUUGGGGUAUAAACGACAGGGGGUUGCUGACAGGUUUGCUUCACUUGCUGCUGCUGGGCUUUCUGGGGCAGGUGCUCUCUCCACUGCUGCUGCAGGAACAGGGGAGCCUAAAAGAAACCUAGGCAGUGGACACCAUGAGAAGUGUUCCCUCCACCAUCCCUACCUUCUGACUUCUAAAGCAAUGUUUCCUUACAAUGGCCAAGGACAUGAUAAGUGAUUAAUUGCCUCUAAUUGGUCAGUGAAUUGACUCACAUGCACCCAUUGUGAUCCUCUCCCUUUCAUUCUUCUUCUAUGCUAUUCUGACUUCAUUUCCUGUCUUCCUUCAUCCUCCCAUAGACUCCUGAUUUAACUGAAUAUAUAAUUGAUUUCUCAGUCUGCCCAGGAAACAAGAUGAAAUGCUGAGUUGAGGAUAAAAAGAUAGCGCAAACAUUUUAUAAGAUUGAGGCAUGAAGUCUUGGUUGAUGGGUGUGCAAUGUCAACUGGCUGCCUUGAGUAGUGCAGACAGAAGCUUUCCCUUGAGCACGAAGGACAAGAAUACAAAUGGUCACCCACAGGCUCACUGCCCCUGACCUGCCCCACCUCCCAGGAAUCGGCUGCUGGGCCAACCAGGAAACCAGGCUCUGCAUCUUGCCUCCCUAGGGAACAGACACCUGAGAGCAGACCUAAGCUGACAUCAUCCACACCUGUGAGAGGCCCAGAUACCUGUGUAUGUGUGUUUGUGUUCAUGGAGGACUUCUUUAUAGCCAGCCAAAUUGCAAGCUUCCCAGGGGCAGGAAGGAUAUUGAGGACAGAACUUCUACCCUGGUAAGAUCUGAUACACUAGCUAGUUGGUGAGUGGGUGGUCCAAUUACUAAAGGAUGCUGUUGAGUAAGUGAGCCAGGAAGUGAGUGAAAGAGAAGGGUGAGUAAGUAAGC
rnacentral:lncRNA from 1 species